rnacentral:rRNA from 1 species
AUUUUGAAUUAAUAAAAUGUAUAAUCUGCUCAAUGAUGAUUUAAAUUGCUGUGGUAUUUUGACUAUACGAAGGUAUUGAAAUAAGGCUUUAAAUGGGUGCUAAGAGAAUGGUUUAACAAUUAUUAGCUGUCUAAAAUUUAAAAAUAGAAUUUAAUUUUUUUGUGAAGAAGCAAAAAUAAAAAUUUGGGACAAGAAGACCCUGUGAAUUUUAAUUUAUUUUAAUAAAUUAGUAUAUUUAUUAAUAUAGAUUUGAUUGGGGCGAUAUAUAAAGAUUAAUAAUCUUUUUAUUAAUAUUUUAAUAUGAUCCAUUUAAUAGUGAUAAUAUGAAUUAAAUACUCCAGGGAUAACAGCGUAAUAAUUUUGGAUAGUUCAUAUAGAUAAAGUAGUUUGCGACCUCGAUGUUGGAUUAGGAUACUUAUUUAAUGAAGAAGUUAAUUUUAAGAAGUUUGUUCAACUUUUAAAUUCCUACAUGAUCUGAGUUCAGACCGGCGU